rnacentral:rRNA from 1 species
AUUGAACGCUGGCGGCAGGCUUAACACAUGCAAGUCGAACGGUAACAGGAAGCAGCUUGCUGCUUCGCUGACGAGUGGCGGACGGGUGAGUAAUGUCUGGGAAGCUGCCUGAUGGAGGGGGAUAACUACUGGAAACGGUAGCUAAUACCGCAUAAUGUCGCAAGACCAAAGAGGGGGACCUUCGGGUCUCUUGCCAUCGGAUGUGCCCAGAUGGGAUUAGCUUGUUGGUGGGGUAACGGCUCACCAAGGCGACGAUCCCUAGCUGGUCUGAGAGGAUGACCAGCCACACUGGAACUGAGACACGGUCCAGACUCCUACGGGAGGCAGCAGUGGGGAAUAUUGCACAAUGGGCGCAAGCCUGAUGCAGCCAUGCCGCGUGUAUGAAGAAGGCCUUCGGGUUGUAAAGUACUUUCAGCGGGGAGGAAGGGAGUAAAGUUAAUACCUUUGCUCAUUGACGUUACCCGCAGAAGAAGCACCGGCUAACUCCGUG